UGCUGGCCUUUACGGUCUAGCUCGUUCGUAAUGCAUUAGCAUCCGCAAUCGAACUUCGGAUUGACUUGGCGUAAUAGACUAUUCGCUGAGGAAUUCUAGUCUUCGGACUAGAGCCGGGUUGGGUUAAAGGAAGCUUCUAAUCAGAAUGUCUACAUUUUAAGAUUAGAUCUCAAAUCAGGUAGGACUACCCGCUGAACUUAAGCAUAUCAAUAAGCGGAGGAAAAGAAACUAACAAGGAUUCCCCUAGUAGCGGCGAGCGAAGCGGGAAGAGCUCAAAUUUAUAAUCUGGCACCUUCGGUGUCCGAGUUGUAAUCUCUAGAAAUGUUUUCCGCGUUGGACCGCACACAAGUCUGUUGGAAUACAGCGGCAUAGUGGUGAGACCCCCGUAUAUGGUGCGGACGCCCAGCGCUUUGUGAUACAUUUUCGAAGAGUCGAGUUGUUUGGGAAUGCAGCUCAAAUUGGGUGGUAAAUUCCAUCUAAAGCUAAAUAUUGGCGAGAGACCGAUAGCGAACAAGUACCGUGAGGGAAAGAUGAAAAGCACUUUGGAAAGAGAGUUAACAGUACGUGAAAUUGUUGGAAGGGAAACGCUUGAAGUCAGACUUGCUUGCCGAGCAAUCGGUUUGCAGGCCAGCAUCAGUUUUCCGGGAUGGAUAAUGGUAGAGAGAAGGUAGCAGUUUCGGCUGUGUUAUAGCUCUCUGCUGGAUACAUCUUGGGGGACUGAGGAACGCAGUGUGCCUU
rnacentral:rRNA from 1 species